rnacentral:rRNA from 1 species
UACGGAGGAUGCGAGCGUUAUCCGGAUUUAUUGGGUUUAAAGGGUGCGUAGGCGGGACGGUCAGUCAGCGGUGAAAUCUCCGGGCUUAACUCGGACACUGCCGUUGAAACUGCCGUUCUUGAGUAUGGACGAGGCAGGCGGAAUUCGUGGUGUAGCGGUGAAAUGCUUAGAUAUCACGAAGAACCCCGAUAGCGCAGGCAGCUUGCCAGGCCACAACUGACGCUGAUGCACGAAAGUGUGGGUAUCAAACAGGAUUAGAUACCCUGGUAGUCCACACAGUAAACGAUGAAUACUAACUGUUUGCGAUAUACAGUAAGCGGUACAGCGAAAGCGUUAAGUAUUCCACCUGGGGAGUACGCCGGCAACGGUGAA